GAUGAACGCUAGCGGCAGGCCUAACACAUGCAAGUCGAGGGGUAACAGGUAGGAAGUUUACUUUCUAUGCUGACGACCGGCGCACGGGUGAGUAACGCGUAUGCAACCUACCUUUAACAGGAGGAUAGCCCCGAGAAAUCGGGAUUAAUACUCCAUACUAUUUAGAUAUCGCAUGGUAUUAAAUAAAAGUUUCGGCGGUUAAAGAUGGGCAUGCGUGACAUUAGUUAGUUGGUGAGGUAACGGCUCACCAAGACCUUGAUGUCUAGGGGUUCUGAGAGGAUUGUCCCCCACACUGGUACUGAGACACGGACCAG
rnacentral:rRNA from 1 species